AUGAGGCAAAAGAUCAAACACAAACCAAACAAUUCACCAACAAAAAAAAAAAAAAAAAACCCAACAACACAAAACCUUAUCACCUCAACUCAUCCACAUUUUCCCCAUCUACCCCUACACAUUAUCACAAAAGCACAACAAUCCCACCUUAUUCUUCUCUUCACAAAACAUAGACUCAAAAUAAGAUCCCACAUACACCUUCCCUUAAAAAUCAAAACAACCACAACAAAACCACCAACCUAUACAAAAACCAUCAACCACCCACAAUUAUAUAGUGACACUACUCCAACCCCAGUUAUAAAAUCCCCCUCAUUUUCACAACCCCACCAAAGAUCCAACCUCAAAACAAUUACCCUUUAG